rnacentral:rRNA from 1 species
GAUUAACGCUGGCGGCGUGCAUAACACAUGCAAGUCGAACGAUGAAACUUAAAUGAUUUCUUCGGAAUGAACUUAAGUGGAUUAGUGGCGGACGGGUGAGUAACGCGUGAGUAACCUGCCUUACACAAGGGGAUAGCCGUUGGAAACGACGAAUAAUACCCUAUGAAACUAUCACUUCGCAUGAAGCGAUAGUCAAAGUGUUAGCGGUGUAAGAUGGACUUGCGUCUGAUUAGCUAGUUGGUGAGAAAAAAGCCCACCAAGGCAACGAUCAGUAGCCGGCUUGAGAGAGUGUACGGCCACAUUGGGACUGAGGCACGGCCCAGACUCCUACGGGAGGCAGCAGUGGGGAAUUUUGCACAAUGGGGGAAACCCUGAUGCAGCGACGCCGCGUGAUUUAGAAGGCCUUCGGGUUGUAAAAAUCUUUUGUAUAGGAAGAAAAUGACAGUACUAUACGAAUAAGGUCCGGCUAAUUACGUG